CCGUAGCCCAAGAGAUCGGGAUAACACCUGGAAACAGAUGCUAAUACCGGAUAACAACAGAUGAUGCCUAUCAACUGUUUAAAAGAUGGUUCUGCUAUCACUCUUGGAUGGACCUGCGGUGCAUUAGCUAGUUGGUAGGGUAACGGCCUACCAAGGCGAUGAUGCAUAGCCGAGUUGAGAGACUGAUCAGCCACAUUGGGACUGAGACACGGCCCAAACUCCUACGGGAGGCAGCAGUG
rnacentral:rRNA from 1 species